CCUACGGGAGGCAGCAGUGGGGAAUAUUGCACAAUGGGCGCAAGCCUGAUGCAGCCAUGCCGCGUGUGUGAAGAAGGCCUUCGGGUUGUAAAGCACUUUCAGCGGGGAGGAAGGCGGUGAGGUUAAUAACCUCAUCGAUUGACGUUACCCGCAGAAGAAGCACCGGCUAACUCCGUGCCAGCAGCCGCGGUAAUACGGAGGGUGCAAGCGUUAAUCGGAAUUACUGGGCGGAAAGCGCACGCAGGCGGUCUGUCAAGUCGGAUGUGAAAUCCCCGGGCUCAACCUGGGAACUGCGUUCGAAACUGGCAGGCUAGAGUCUUGUAGAGGGGGGUAGAAUUCCAGGUGUAGCGGUGAAAUGCGUAGAGAUCUGGAGGAAUACCGGUGGCGAAGGCGGCCCCCUGGACAAAGACUGACGCUCAGGUGCGAAAGCGUGGGGAGCAAACAGGAUUAGAUACCCUAGUAGUC
rnacentral:rRNA from 1 species